GAUGAACGCUGGCGGCGUGCCUAAUACAUGCAAGUCGAGCGAACAGAUGAGGAGCUUGCUCCUCUGACGUUAGCGGCGGACGGGUGAGUAACACGUGGAUAACCUACCUAUAAGACUGGGAUAACUUCGGGAAACCGGAGCUAAUACCGGAUAAUAUAUUGAACCGCAUGGUUCAAUAGUGAAAGACGGUUUUGCUGUCACUUAUAGAUGGAUCCGCGCCGCAUUAGCUAGUUGGUAAGGUAACGGCUUACCAAGGCAACGAUGCGUAGCCGACCUGAGAGGGUGAUCGGACAAACUGGAACUGAGACACGGUCCAGACUCCUACGGGAGGCAGCAGUAGGGAAUCUUCCGCAAUGGGCGACAGCCUGACGGAGCAACGCCGCGUGAGUGAUGAAGGUCUUAGGAUCGUAAAACUCUGUUAUUAGGGAAGAACAAAUGUGUAAGUAACUAUGCACGUCUUGACGGUACCUAAUCAGAAAGCCACGGCUAACUACGUG
rnacentral:rRNA from 1 species